rnacentral:rRNA from 1 species
UACGUAGGGUGCAAGCGUUAAUCGGAAUUACUGGGCGUAAAGCGUGCGCAGGCGGUUUGUUAAGUCUGUUGUGAAAUCCCCGGGCUCAACCUGGGAAUUGCGAUGGAGACUGCAAGGCUAGAAUCUGGCAGAGGGGGGUAGAAUUCCGCGUGUAGCAGUGAAAUGCGUAGAGAUGUGGAGGAACACCGAUGGCGAAGGCAGCCCCCUGGGUCAAGAUUGACGCUCAUGCACGAAAGCGUGGGGAGCAAACAGG